AUAAUUUCCAAGAUCACGACAUCACUCGUUACAGACUUGCUGCCAGGUUCUGGCAAUCAGUCAGGAACCCAAAUGUCAGGGCCCCAGGACCCCAAUGUCUCUGGGUGCUUCUAUUCCAGAUGAAGGGGCUACAAGUGCUGUUUUAUGAAACAGACUUUGUGGAGAAGAGAUGGGGAUAAAGAUGUACCAUUUCCAGCCACCAUGGAACUCCCCUCCCCCACUCCCAGCUCAGACAGCCCCUUCACUACAGCCUAUCCUACCAGGCCCAGGAGAACGUGGGGCAUAGGGGACGGGACAGAAGCAGGGACAUGAUCCAGGUGCUCAGGAAUUUUUCUUCAGGUUGACUUCUAGUUCCAUAGCGUUGUGGCCAGAAAAGAUGCAUGGUAUGACUUCAAUCUUUGUGAAUUUUUUGAGGCUUGUUUUGUGACCUAAUAUGUGAUCUCUUCUGGAGAAUCUUCC